AACUCCCCGGACUUCCUCUGCUUGUGUGGGAAGGGGAGUCCUGAACUCAGACAUGUAAUUUUUUGUAGCAAAAAUAAAAGGAAAGGGUCUCUCUAAGGUCCCUUGUGAUUGGGACUUAUCUAUUUAUACCUCCAUUUCAUCCAAAAAGAGUAUGAGGAACUGGUUGUCUCCCUUCACGACUUCCAUUUCUUUGGACUUUGUACAAAG